GACGAACGCUGGCGGCGUGCCUAACACAUGCAAGUCGAACGGAGCCAGCCCCCUUCGGGGACUGACUUAGUGGCGAACGGGUGAGUAACGCGUGAGAAACCUGCCUUUCAGUGGGGGACAACAGUUGGAAACGACUGCUAAUACCGCAUAAUGUCAUUUGGGGGCAUCCUCGAAUGACCAAAGAUUUAUUGCUGAAAGAUGGUCUCGCGUCUGAUUAGCUAGAUGGCGGGUAACGGCCCACCAUGGCGACGAUCAGUAGCCGGUCUGAGAGGAUGAACGGCCACAUUGGGACUGAGAUGCGGCCCAGACUCCUACGGGAGGCAGCAGUGGGGAAUAUUGGGCAAUGGGGGAAACCCGUGACCCAGCAACGCCGCGUGAAGGAAGAACGGUUUCGGUAGUUGUAAACUUACUUUAAGUAGGACGGA
rnacentral:rRNA from 1 species